rnacentral:rRNA from 1 species
UAACGAUGAAGAGUUUGAUCCUGGCUCAGGAUGAACGCUAGCGGCAGGCCUAACACAUGCAAGUCGAGGGGUAACGUGAGUGCUUGCACUUGACGACGACCGGCGGACGGGUGCGUAACGCGUAUACAAUCUACCUAUUACUAAAAGAUAGCCCAGAGAAAUUUGGAUUAAUAUUUUAUGGCAUUACGACCUGGCAUCAGGUUGUAAUUAAAGGUUAC